AUUUUCAGCACUGCUCACAAAUGAAACAGCUCUGCUGUUUGUAGCAAUUCGCUCAAACUGAAUUGAUCUUACUUCAGUGUUUCAUUCCAUGUGGCAAAGCCUCCAAUAAUGAUUAUACAUCUGUUUGAUGUCCAGAUAAAAUUAGCUGAGGGCUGCACUACAGAACAUCUGUUUUGACGACGUCUUUUGUCAAUAAGGGCUGUGAGAAACAGAAUAAAGAUUUGAAAUCAUGAGCAGGUGACCCAGUUUCUGUGUCUCCAUUAACUUCCCAUCUUAACCUUGCCUCUUCCUUUUUGGAUUUCGUGGGAGAGAGUUAAUGGAGUAUUGUAGUACUUUUAUGAAAGGCAGUUGUUACAAGAUUUGUCACAAGGGCUGUAUCCAGGGGCAAGUUCAAGCUCAAACCGGUGCGCAACGUUUUGCUUUGGUUUGAACGACAUGCUUCCUGGAAACGAUGUGCAACGGGGUUUGAGAUACAUUUUCUCUUGUUCGGUUGGUGUGUCAAAAAUGUCACCCCAAUCAGCAGCAACAUGUAUAUAAACAACAUGGUAUUAAAGAGACAGCUCACACAAUGUAAUUAACAUCAAAAUAAAUUUACAAGAGCAAGUAUAUUGUUUGCACAUGUUUAUUUACAUUACAG
ensembl:lncRNA